rnacentral:rRNA from 1 species
UACGGAGGGUGCAAGCGUUGUUCGGAAUUAUUGGGCGUAAAGCGCGUGUAGGUGGUCGUGUAAGUCAGAUGUGAAAGCCUUCUGCUUAACAGAAGAAGUGCAUUUGAAACUGCUCGGCUAGAGUACGGGAGAGGAGAGUGGAAUUCCCGGUGUAGAGGUGAAAUUCGUAGAUAUCGGGAGGAACACCAGUGGCGAAGGCGGCUCUCUGGUCCGAUACUGACGCUGAGACGCGAAAGCGUGGGGAGGAAUCAGG